rnacentral:rRNA from 1 species
GACGAACGCUGGCGGCGUGCUUAACACAUGCAAGUCGAACGGAAAGGCCCUGCUUUUGUGGGGUGCUCGAGUGGCGAACGGGUGAGUAACACGUGAGUAACCUGCCCUUGACUUUGGGAUAACUUCAGGAAACUGGGGCUAAUACUGGAUAGGAGCUCCUGCUGCAUGGUGGGGGUUGGAAAGUUUCGGCGGUUGGGGAUGGACUCGCGGCUUAUCAGCUUGUUGGUGGGGUAGUGGCUUACCAAGGCUUUGACGGGUAGCCGGCCUGAGAGGGUGACCGGCCACAUUGGGACUGAGAUACAGCCCAGACUCCUACGGGAGGCAGCAGUGGGGAAUAUUGCACAAUGGGCGGAAGCCUGAUGCAGCAACGCCGCGUGCGGGAUGACGGCCUUCGGGUUGUAAACCGCUUUCGCCUGUGACGAAGCGUGAGUGACGGUAAUGGGUAAAGAAGCACCGGCUAACUACGUG